GAAUGUCUUGUCUUCGUUUUAAAGUUUGAAUGGUGGCUCUAUGUCAAUGUAUGUGGAAGUAGAUACAGUUUAAAGAGGAGGAAUUUGAAUGAGAAUUUGAAGGGUCUCUCCAUUGAAAUACAUUAUAAAUUUUUGUUAAAUAAAGUUGAAUAAAAUUAAAAAUAUAAAUGUUAGAAAUGAGAAAAAUAGAAGCAGUCAUGUCCAAAAGAAUAGGAAUCUAACGGUGUUUGAAUGGUUUUUCUAAGUUGAACGGUUUUGAAGGAGAUAGAUUACAAAAAACGUACGGAAUACAGAAUAAUAAAUAAAAUAGAACUAGAAAGUGCAUUUUCUGAAGAAACUGCAGUGUGAAUGCUUGAAUCUGAAUGUAUGCACUGAAAUGAAUUAAUUGCUGAAUUUUGAGUUAAAAAUAUUGAAUGAGAUUAAAAAAAAACAAAAAAAAAAACCGAAUUUAACCUGAAAACAAAGGUGCUGAACUGCUAAAAGCUGAAGGUUACACAGAAGAAGGAGUUGGAAAAAAACUGAAAAUGUUUUAAAUGUAAAUUAGAAAACCCUAAGAAAUGAGAAAAGAACAUUUAGAGUCAGAAAACAUCUGAAUGAAUAUUAAAAGGUCAUAUUCUUUGAAUCACUGAAUGACUCAAAUGUGAUCCCUCCACUUUGAUCCACAAAGUUUAAAAAGUUUAAAUGCCUGAGCUUUGAAAGAUACGGUGUUGGAAAGAGAACAAUAAUGGCGACAAUUUGAGGGUAAAAUGAUGGCUGUAACACUGUGGACAUAGCAGCAGUUGAAAGAGAAGUGCUUAAGAUGAAUCUUGGUACAGUGGCAGGCAGAGCUCGUUAAGCAGGCAGGUGUGAGCCUGGUUGCUAUAGUGACCGCACCCAAUGGCUCCAUACACACGUACACAGACAUGCGCCUCACUUUUGCUGCUUAAAAUGAACAGAAAAGUCAGGCCGAAACAAAUCGUUCCCAAAUGAAAAGUAAAAGUCGUAUUGACAAAAUUCUUUCACCGUGACGGCAGCAAUGUCCAGUCUACCAAAUUCUCAGUUUUCAUGCCUGUGGAGUUUAUUAUAUGGACGUGGUGACAGUGUAAAGACACCAUGCUCUUCUGAUUUUCAAACGAACCUUCUGAGCCAUUUUAACAUUAGAGUCUAUGGAAGAGUUGGAGGGAGGAGGCUGUGCAUUGGUGACAUUUAUGAAAGAACCAUAACACCUAGUACAAUAGUAAACACAUUGGAUGAAAGAGGACAGCGAUGGCUACGUUUUGAGGGUAAAAUCAUACCUGUA
ensembl:lncRNA